AAGAGAUGGUGUUUUGCUAAGUUGCCCACACUGAUCUCAAAAUCCUUUUGUUUUUGCUUUGGAAUGGUCUGGAACUCCUGAGCUCAAGUGAUCCUCCCACCUUGGCCUCCCAAAGGCCUGGGAUUACACGUAUGAGCCACCGCACCAAGCCCAGGUUGAGCUUUUAAGGUAUUAAAGAUCCACUAGGUGAAAAAAAAGAGUGAAAGAUACAUAUGCCAUUUAAGGGAAGCACAGGAAAACUCCUAUUUUGUUUAUAUGUGAAUAGAGGCGCAUAGAUGCCUAGAAAAGUGUCUGGGAGGGAAUGAAACCAGAUUGGCCACAAAAAUCACCUCUGGAAAAAGGAAAAGAAUGGGGACUUUCACUUUUUGCUUCAUAUGUUUCAUGCACCUUUUUUUUUUUUUUUUUUUGAGAUGGAGUUUCACUCUUAUUGCCCAGGCUGGGGUGCAGUGGUGCAAUCUCAGCUCACUGCAACCUCUGCCUCCUAGCCUGGGUGACAAGAGUGAAACUCCAUCAAAAAAAAAAAA
rnacentral:lncRNA from 1 species